rnacentral:rRNA from 1 species
CCAAUAGCGUAUAUUAAAGUUGUUGCAGUUAAAAAGCUCGUAGUUGAAUUUCGGGAUCAGUAGGUUGGUCGUGCCACUGGUAUGUACUGGCCUUACUGGUUCCUCCUUCUUGUAGAACUGUAAUGUCAUUAAUUUGGUGUUGCAGGGAAACAGGACUGUUACUUUGAAAAAAUUAGAGUGUUUAAAGCAGGCUAACGCUUGAAUACAUUAGCAUGGAAUAAUGAAAUAGGACGUUUAAUCCUAUUUUGUUGGUUUCUAGGAUUGACGUAAUGAUUAAUAGGGAUAGUUGGGGGCAUUAGUAUUCAAUUGUCAGAGGUGAAAUUCUUGGAUUUAUUGAAGACUAACUACUGCGAAAGCAUUUGCCAAGGAUGUUUUCAUUAAUCAAGAACGAAAGUUAGGGGAUCGAAGACGAUCAGAUACCGUCGUAGUCUUAACCAUAAACUAUGCCGACUAGGGAUCGGAUGAUGUUAAUUUUUUAAUGACUCAUUCGGCGCCUUACG